AUUCUCCUCCAAACUCCCUUCCCAUCCAGCCUGGCACAUAACAUUGAGCAGAGUUCCAUGUGGUAUACAGUCAGUCCUUGUUAGUUAACCAUUUUAAUGUAGCAGUAAUACAGUGUCUUUGAAAAUAACUCCUUUACCUCUUUUUUCACUUUCUCUACUUCAGGCACUCUUUAGAAUAAACAGCCCAUUUCCACCUCACAACAGUCCAUGGAGGUAGAGUUAUCACCCCCAUUUUUGAAAUGCAAAACCAAGGCACAGAGAAGGGACAUCCCCUGUGUAAGAACACACAGCCCCUAAGUGCUGAGCCGGGACGGGCACCCACACCUCUGUCUCCGGAGCUGGUAUUAAGAUCCCGGAGGACUCACCCCAAGCUGUGAAGGAGCCGAGGGAAGUCAGGACCAGAGCUAAGAGCCACAUCCUGGAAAAAGAGCCGCUCCCGUCCCUUCAGGUGUCUGCGCUGCUCACAGGUGCUGUUUCAGUGCUGCUCCCAGCUGCCACCCCCAGCUCCCUCCACAAGCUCCAGCCCCAGCUGCUCAAUAACAAGCAAAUCUCUCCUCCCUUGCUUAUAAGUGGUUGGAGUGUGUGAGCCACGCCCACCCAGUUUACCAUCUCUGAAAUCAAGAACCCAGACUUAACUCUCCAAUUGCAGGGCAGGCGCAAGCAGACAAGAGGCCUUCAGAUAAGACAUUCACAUGACAACUAUUCACUGAGCUCACUGUGUGGGAAGCGCCGUGUGGAGGGUGUGUAUGCAGGAUCUCACUCAGUUCUCAAAAUCAACCCUUGAAUUGCUAUCAUGAUUUCCCAGUGCUCAGCGAGGACAAGGAAAUAGCCCACAGGCACGCAGUAAGUAAGAGGAAGAGCUGAGAACUGAACUACAACAGCACAAUGUUACAGCCCCAGCUCUAAACGUCGUGGGAACCGGAGUCCUGAGGUAUGAGGCUCCUUGCGAGUGAGAUGGAGCAGAAAUAAAGGGAUUGUCUCCAGGGCAGCAGACUGAAGAGGCAGCUCUGCCUUCUACACGCGUGCACUGUUUUCCAACGAUCAAUUGUCAAAACUGACCUGGUCCAGGCCAGAGAAAUGCUGACACAGGGAAGGAUUGGGCAACUAUAAACCACAUGACAAUCUUAGAAAAGUUGAUGGGUUCUUGGCCAAGAUCAUGGGUUGUGGCUGAAAUGAACCUUCUGGAGACCCAAGUUCUAAACGUGAUGCUCAUCGGCACUCAUUCUGGCAAUGGCAGACCAGUGAGGGGUGAGAGUUUGGGACCGCAGCGAAGUCAGCCCCAAGACGUGACUGCUUCUACAAAGACCAACCUGGGCUGGGGCUCCUCCCUUUCACCAGGAAAGAUACAUAGGUUCUAAAGAGUACCCUAAUAAAAAACACUCCUGUCUCUGUCCACACUGAACGAUCCAGGCUGUCUUCCAAAGUAGACAACAAGCCUGUUUCUAAUCACUUAGCUCUCAUACACACGUGUGUGCCUUACUACUUAUACAUACAUGUGCACCUGCCCCCCCCCCCAACACACACAGUGGUUAAGUCAUAGCCAUUCUGCCCUAUUCCCUGUUCAGCUGGCCUUUGCAACUUGUAAUUCAAUCCUGGCUCUUAGACUAUGAAGACCCCAGGAUGCUGCAUUCAUUUCAGUUCAGUUCAGUCGUUCAGUUGUGUCCAACUCUGAGACACCAUA